AGUGAACGCUGGCGGUAGGCCUAACACAUGCAAGUCGAACGGCAGCACAGAGGAGCUUGCUCCUUGGGUGGCGAGUGGCGGACGGGUGAGGAAUACAUCGGAAUCUACUCUGUCGUGGGGGAUAACGCAGGGAAACUUACGCUAAUACCGCAUACGACCUACGGGUGAAAGCAGGGGAUCUUCGGACCUUGCGCGAUUGAAUGAGCCGAUGUCGGAUUAGCUAGUUGGCGGGGUAAAGGCUCACCAAGGCGACGAUCCGUAGCUGGUCUGAGAGGAUGAUCAGCCACACUGGAACUGAGACACGGUCCAGACUCCUACGGGAGGCAGCAGUGGGGAAUAUUGGACAAUGGGCGCAAGCCUGAUCCAGCCAUACCGCGUGGGUGAAGAAGGCCUACGGGUUGUAAAGCCCUUUUGUUGGGAAAGAAAUCCAGCCGGCUAAUACCUGGUUGGGAUGACGGUACCCAAAGAAUAAGCACCGGCUAACUUCGUGCCAGCAGCCGCGGUAAUACGAAGGGUGCAAGCGUUACUCGGAAUUACUGGGCGUAAAGCGUGCGUAGGUGGUUAUUUAAGUCCGUUGUGAAAGCCCUGGGCUCAACCUGGGAACUGCAGUGGAUACUGGAUGACUAGAAUGUGGUAGAGGGUAGCGGAAUUCCUGGUGUAGCAGUGAAAUGCGUAGAGAUCAGGAGGAACAUCCAUGGCGAAGGCAGCUACCUGGACCAACAUUGACACUGAGGCACGAAAGCGUGGGGGAGCAAACAGG
rnacentral:rRNA from 1 species